ACGACCAAAGGGCUCCUGCCUUCCUCCCCCCUGCAGCUCCUGGCUCCAAUGUCACCUUCGUCAGGUCUUCUGUGUCCGUUCAGGUUCUGUCCCUCCCACCCUGGAACGUAGGAUUCCCCAGGGCGAGGACACCGUCCCGUGCACCACUAUCUCUAGCCCCUUGAACGGUGCCUGGCACCUUGCAGGUACUCAAUAAAUGUGAGGAUGAAGCAGUUAA